UCAUGGGAGGGUGGGGGGAGUUAGUACCAAGAAAACGCUGUAUAAUUAAGAAAUGUUCCCUUUGCGCAAGGAACCAUGCAAACAAUCCACCAGCAUAUUAGUGAGAUGGAAAUACUGACCCACAAUAGCCAACCCAGUGCUUUUCAGGGAGGUGGGCUAGAUUAUACAUUAAACCAUUGACACAUGUCUCCUUAGAGUUGGGAAAGGCUUUGGGUUAGAAGCAAAAGAAGAUAUAAGUAUGUUGGUGGCAGAUCAGGAGUCACAAGACAAGCUUUGCUCACAGUUGUGAAAAACCUCAAGUUUCCAAAGCUUCGCCCUUGAGAAAGAAGUAACAAUGUCUCAAUCUCAUUGAACAUGAGGAUUGCUGAGAAGUAAAGGAGGGUAUACUUCUCCACAGGCGGCCUCAUACCACUUGGAGUCAAAUGUGAUUUCGAGCAAGAAUCUAGCAAAAAGAAUAAUCAGAAACAAAUGCGAAUGUUGUUUAAUUUCAUACUAAUUUUUAAAUCCGUGGUUUAGCUGUGCUUCUUGUUAAAAGAACAUUCCUAUCCCUGCAGAUGCCGCUUGAAGGUCCUGAUUAUAAAGUUGCAAUUACAAACGGAAAAUCUGUUUCUCCCAUAUCCCUUAAUGUCAUUGUAAAAUAUGGAGCCUUCUGAUAUCAAAUGCUUUCUUCUACUUGGAAAAGAUGAGAGAGUUAGAGAAGAGAAAGAUAUUAUUGGGCCCUACCACCUCUUAGGCGGAAUAAACAAGAAGAAUUCGAUUUAUUUAUUUAUUUAUUUUUGGCCUCUAAACUCUCAUAUAGCUCAUAAGUUUGUUUCCAAGUGUUGGGUUCAUAGAAAAUUUCAUCACAGAAUUAUGUUCAAAUAACUCCGCGUGCCUGGCUUAGGUCAGUGGAAACCAUAAAUCCAGGAGAAUUGAACUCAUUCUUGUUUGGUAGACAUUUGGAAGAAAAAGGGGAACAACUUGCAAAAAGACUGCAAGGAGGGACACCGCUGUGAACACUGGAGAGGUGACUCAAUAUGCUGCCUAGUGGCCGAGCAAGGACAAGAGCCAGAUAUCCAGAUGCUUGCUGUGAGUGGCACACAGGCAAUGAACUUCAAUGAAAGGCUUUUCUCUGCCACCUUGUGACUCAGAAGUGCUCCCCUAAAUAUCUCUCAUCCCAUUUGACCCAGCCUUAGCCCAGUCUCAUACAUGUAACAUUUUCUGCUCAAUGGAUGUGCCUAUCUCUUAAGUAUUUGUUGACAAACAAUUCCUAGGUCUAUGGUUUUUGCCCUUGUUUCCUUCUAUAAAAUGCCCAAAUAGGUGUCCAGGCCAUGUCAGCUGCAGCGCUCAGCAACGUAGAGGGUUAGCACUGAAUCUGGCCUUUGCAAAUAUGUAUCUAAUUUUUUAGGUUUGCCAAAUUAUUCCCGUUAUCUUUUUCCUUUGCAAAAAUGAAUGCACUGUUUGGUUCAACGACCCCAAGUUCCUUGAAACUCACGUUGUCACCGUGGCUUGCCGAUCUGUGUCCCUCAUUGUACCAGUCGGGCACAUGAAUGGAUUCAGGGGCCACUUUGCCAGCUUUACCUGUCACCAAUCUUACAUAUUCCCCGCAAACAGUGUAGGUUUGUGGGGUGUUGGGGGGAAGAUGGCAAUUAUAAAUGAGAAUAGGAUCUGACACACUUUUCAACCACUUGAAAUCUCUGUGGUUUCAUUUUAUGACAUUCUCAGAGCACAUCUCUUUGGAAUACCAGCUAGUAUAUUCUUUUCCCGUUUGGAAUCCACAGCUGGGAGCUGAACAACACUGAGCCAAUCAACGAAUCCCAACAGGAAGAUGUAACUUUAAUUCACUUAGGCAAGAGUUGUAUUUCAUUGCAGCACAUUGACAAAUCAUAGCCAGCUCUGUAGGAUGUCAGGAGUUAUCUCUCAGUCAACUUUAAUGAUAACCAGGGGUCCCUAAGUCAGCCAACAUGAAUUGGGAAGAAGCCAAGACCAGAGACUGCAGUGCCAACCACGUAAUGAAUUUCAUGCAGAAAUUCCAAAGAAGACUCAGCCACUUAGGAUUUCUACACAACGUCUAUUUCCAGCUCCACAUUAGGACAUAGGAUCUUAAAAAUAACUUUUUAAAAGCUGGCUUAAUGUAGUUAUAUGAAAAGGCUUAUAAAAAUCAAACCAAGUUUACAUAUACAUGAAAUUUAUCACCUUUGUUGAAAACAACAGAAAGACCCAAAACUGAGUUUAGAGAGAAAAAUCCAUGAAAUAAUCACUGGAGUCAUGUCACAAAAGAUAACCGAGCGGGGUAGACCUACCUGGACACAUCAUGUUGGCCUACUUUCCAAUAGGAUGCUUCAGGAGAAAGUGAAAUCUCUGUAACGUGAAAUCUUACGUGCAUUCCAGUUGAAUUUCUUCUCAUUGCAAAUGGUGCUCAAAGAAGGAUCAAUCUCGGUUGCUUCCUUCAGUUUCCCUUUUGGAGUGAUUUUUGUUUUUCAUUUACAGUAGGCUAUGUUAGCCUUUAUUUUAGUGGUUGUGCAAACUAGGUCGCCUGAUGGAACGUUACGCCGGUGGCCUUUCAUAAAGGUUGCUGAACUUUCACCAGAGGUGAGAUGAAUGAAGGUAAAUAGAUCUAAAUACUAUUAGGGAGAAAAAGGGCUCUUGCUUUAAGAAGUAAGGAAAUUUUAAUCAAACCUGUUUCAAGGGUGAGAGUGAGGAAAAGGCAGCCCCACUAGCUUAGAAAAAGACCUGCUUAGAGAAGCUGAGUUACGGAUGCAAAAGCCGAGGCAAACUUCCCAGAUCUGAAAGCAUCUUAUGUUCCCUCAGCUCCCUGAGAGCUCCAGUUUUAAAAAGGACCAGUUACCUCCAUGAACUCCCAAAUUGAAAUGUCCUUUCCUUCUAAUCGUUCAGAUAAUCGACACGCGCAGCCAGGACACCUUCGUUGCUAAACUCACUUAUCUAGUGUCCAUUGGCAGCAACAAUGGACAAGACCCUUCCACAUGGCUUUGUCAUCCUCAGCCAGGUUUAACUAAGAAAGCUCUUUCACUGCUGGCCUCAUUCUCUCAGGUGUGAUCGAGGGGAGCCAAGUUGUUUUGACUUGAGUUCUCAGUGAAUAAGUAUUAAUACCAGACUCUGCCAAACUUGUCUCCUUCCAUCUUAGAACUUCAGCAAGUACGCGUUUGAUUACUCCUUGACUCCAAGUCUACUUUAAAAAAAGAAAAAAAAAAAUGAGAUCGAGAAGUUUCCUUGUGCAGCACAUUAAGGAUCUGGCACUGUCACUGCUAUGGUGCAGGUUCUAUCCCUGGCCUG
rnacentral:lncRNA from 1 species